UGUAGGCGGCUGGGCUAGUGCUGACCAAAUUUAUUCCUUCAUAUGCUGAGUUCAUUGAAACCGGUGGUGUACUUCACCUGCUACAGGGAUCACCAGGUUCAUAAGGAAACCUCCCCAGGAAUAUUCUCAACAGCUUACCAAAGUUUGACUAACUAGCUCAUCUCGGCGUGGUGCCACAGACAUGUCAGCCAAAAGUAGGAACAGGCAUGCCUAAAAAGAGGUAUU